UACGUAGGGUGCAAGCGUUAAUCGGAAUUACUGGGCGUAAAGCGUACGCAGGCGGUUAUGCAAGACAGGUGUGAAAUCCCCGAGCUCAACUUGGGAACUGCACUUGUGACUGCAUAGCUAGAGUACGGUAGAGGGGAGUGGAAUUCCGCGUGUAGCAGUGAAAUGCGUAGAUAUGCGGAGGAACACCGAUGGCGAAGGCAGCUCCCUGGACCUGUACUGACGCUCAUGCACGAAAGCGUGGGGAGCAAACAGGAUUAGAUACCCUGGUAGUCCACGCCCUAAACGAUGUCAACUGGUUGUUGGGAGGGUUUCUUCUCAGUAACGUAGCUAACGCGUGAAGUUGACCGCCUGGGGAGUACGGCCGCAAGGUUGAAACUCAAGGAAUUGACGGGGACCCGCACAAGCGGUGGAUGAUGUGGUUUAAUUCGAUGCAACGCGAAAAACCUUACCUACCCUUGACAUGUCUGGAAUCCUGAAGAGAUUUGGGAGUGCUCGCAAGAGAGCCAGAACACAGGUGCUGCAUGGCCGUCGUCAGCUCGUGUCGUGAGAUGUUGGGUUAAGUCCCGCAACGAGCGCAACCCUUGUCAUUAGUUGCUACGAAAGGGCUCUCUAAUGAGACUGCCGGUGACAAACCGGAGGAAGGUGGGGAUGACGUCAGG
rnacentral:rRNA from 1 species